CUGUAUCCUGGAGUUCCUCUGAACGCUUCAUAUGAAGGGUUAGUUAGUGUACAACUUUCUUCACCUGAAGUGUUUGGGGGAACUCUUGGCUUCCA
rnacentral:pre_miRNA from 1 species